AACGAACGCUGGCGGCAGGCUUAACACAUGCAAGUCGAGCGCCCCGCAAGGGGAGCGGCAGACGGGUGAGUAACGCGUGGGAAUCUACCCAUCUCUACGGAAUAACGCAUGGAAACGUGUGCUAAUACCGUAUACGUCCUUCGGGAGAAAGAUUUAUCGGAGAUGGAUGAGCCCGCGUUGGAUUAGCUAGUUGGUGGGGUAAAGGCCUACCAAGGCGACGAUCCAUAGCUGGUCUGAGAGGAUGAUCAGCCACACUGGGACUGAGACAUGGCCCAGACUCCAACGGGAGGCAGCAGUGGGGAAUAUUGGACAAUGGGCGCAAGCUUGAUCCAGCCAUGCCGCGUGAGUGAUGAAGGCCCUGGGGUUGUAAAGCUCUUUCACCGGUGAAGAUAAUGACGGUAACCGGAGAAGAAGCCCCGGCUAACUUCGUGCCAGCCGCCGCGGUAACAC
rnacentral:rRNA from 1 species